rnacentral:pre_miRNA from 1 species
CGAGCACCGGUGGGGUCCCUUGGCCUGGCCUGCACCCCCUUACAAUCCGGGACCCCUGAGGAGAUGUCAGAGAGCUGGUUUCAGCCCAAUCCCUGCAGGCCAGGCCAAGGGACCCCACCGGUGCAUG